rnacentral:rRNA from 1 species
GAUGAACGCUAGCGGCAGGCUUAACACAUGCAAGUCGAGGGGUAUUGGUUUUCGGACCAAGAGACCGGCGCACGGGUGCGUAACGCGUAUGCAAUCUACCUUUUGCAGAGGGAUAGCCCCAGAGAAAUUUGGAUUAAUACCUCAUAGUAUUUUCGGAUCGCAUGAUUUGAUUAUUAAAGUUCCAACGGUAAAAGAUGAGUAUGCGUCCCAUUAGCUAGAUGGUAAGGUAACGGCUUACCAUGGCAAUGAUGGGUAGGGGUCCUGAGAGGGAGAUCCCCCACACUGGUACUGAGACACGGACCAGACUCCUACGGGAGGCAGCAGUGGGGAAUAUUGGACAAAUGGGCGAAAGACCUGAUCCAGCAAUGCCGCGUGAGUGAUGAAGGCCUUAGGGUUGUAAAGCUCUUUACCCGGGUAUGAUAAUGACAGUACCGGGAGAAUAAGCUCCGGCUAAACUCCGUGCCAGCAGCCGCGGUAAAUGUGACUACUG